rnacentral:lncRNA from 1 species
GUGCAGUGCGCAAAACAACCAUACGGCUCACUUCUUUGUGGAUUCUACAUUUGCGAGUACUUAAGGAUACAAGCACCAGAUUUAGCAGCAACUGGCGGCAGAUCUAGAAAGGACAAGAUUGGCAAAGGUCGAUGAAGAAUUUAGACAGUCAGUCGCUGACAUCUGUAAGUUUGUAACAAAGUACACAUGAAGGACGACCGUUCUUUGACCUAGAAAGCGAGCUAGCUAUGAACACAAAGUUUACGAGAAUUAGAAACUGGAGCGACGAAGAGGCAGGUAUAAAACUCAAUGAUUAUGUAUUGCCGAACCUCUUUGCUUUGAAGUAAAGAUAGUGUAGUGUUAGCAUUGUAGAUCUUAGUUUCACAAGUGUAAACAUUUGACAUAUGCUUUGUGUAAUCUAAAUUCGAAUGAAUUGCAUGGUUGAUAUACUGC